rnacentral:rRNA from 1 species
UACGUAGGGUCCGAGCGUUGUCCGGAAUUACUGGGCGUAAAGAGCUCGUAGGCGGUCUGUCGCGUCGGCUGUGAAAUCCCGAGGCUCAACCUCGGGUCUGCAGUCGAUACGGGCAAACUAGAGUAUUGCAGGGGAGACUGGAAUUCCUGGUGUAGCGGUGAAAUGCGCAGAUAUCAGGAGGAACACCGGUGGCGAAGGCGGGUCUCUGGGCAAUAACUGACGCUGAGGAGCGAAAGCGUGGGGAGCGAACAGG